rnacentral:rRNA from 1 species
GCAAGUCGAGCGGAAACGAGAAGUACUUGUACUUCGGCGGCGAGCGGCGGACGGGUGAGUAAUGCUUGGGAAUAGGCCAUAAGGUGGGGGACAACAGAUGGAAACGACUGCUAAUACCGCAUAAUGUCUACGGACCAAAGAGGGGGAUUCUUCGGAACCUCUUGCCUUUAGAUUAGCCCAAGUGAGAUUAGCUAGUAGGUGAGGUAAUGGCUCACCUAGGCGACGAUCUCUAGCUGGUUUGAGAGGAUGAUC